GCUGGUUAAUAAUUUAAAAGUGAAUCCCCGAGGCUUAACCUUGGAACUGCUUUUAAAACUAUUAAUCUAGAGAUUGAAAGAGGAUAGAGGAAUUCCUGAUGUAGAGGUAAAAUUUAUAAAUAUUAGGAGGAACACCAGUGGCGAAUGCGUCUAUCUGGUUCAAAUCUGACGCUCAAGCGCGAAGGCGUGGUGGAGCAAACAGGAUUAGAUACCCUGGUAGUCCACGCUGUAAACGAUGAAUGUUAAAUAUGGGGAGUUUACUUUCUGUAUUACAGCUAACGCGUUAAACAUUCCGCCUGGGGACUACGGUCGCAAGAUUAAAACUCAAAGGAAUUGACGGGGACCCGCACAAGCGGUGGAGCAUGUGGUUUAAUUCGAUGCAACGCGAAAAACCUUACCACUUCUUGACAUGAAAAUCAUACCUAUUCGAAGGGAUAGGGUCGGUUCGGCCGGAUUUUACACAAGUGUUGCAUGGCUGUCGUCAGCUCGUGUCGUGAGAUGUUGGGUUAAGUCCCGCAACGAGCGCAACCCUCAUCCUUAGUUGCCAUCAGGUAAUGCUGAGUACUUUAAGGAAACUGCCAGUGAUAAGCUGGAGGAAGGUGGGGAUGAUGUCAAGUCAUCAUGGCCUUUAUGGAGUGGGCUACACACGUGCUACAAUGGUGUCUACAAUGGGCUGCAAGGUGCGCAAGCCUAAGCUAAUCCCUAAAAGACAUCUCAGUUCGGAUUGUACUCUGCAACUCGAGUACAUGAAGUUGGAAUCGCUAGUAAUCGUGGAUCAGCAUGCCACGGUGAAUACGUUCUCGGGUCUUGUACACACUGCCCGU
rnacentral:rRNA from 1 species